UCCUACGGGAGGCAGCAGUUGGGAAUCUUGGACAAUGGAGGAAACUCUGAUCCAGCCAUGCCGCGUGAGUGAUGAAGGCCUCGGUUGUAAACUACUUUCGUCGCGCGACGAUAAUGACGGUACCAUUUGUAAGCUCCGGCUAACUCCGUGCCAGCAGCCGCGGUA
rnacentral:rRNA from 1 species